UAAACCCUUGUUUCCCACUAUUUUUUCUGACAAAACAUGGAAUUAUUACUCGGAAAUAAUUGUAGUUCAAUACGCAUUUUGCAGAUGCCAUGAUGCAGAGAAAAGCCUCAAAGAGUAGGGCUCACGCCUCACACUCCUUACAUACCCAGGAAAAGCAUUUACUGUUAUGGUGAAUGGGAUACGGUCCGUUACUGAGGAUAAUGAUGCUAUUUUAGAAAACAGGCAUUCGAGAAUCGACAUACUUUCUUGGGUCUCUGUCAGAAGAAUCAUUAUCAGUUUGACACACUUCGCCGAGACAAGCAUUCAUCAAUGAUGAUCCUGCAUCAUCUCCAUAAUCCAACACUGCCUGCAGCUGGAUCUUAUUAACCAAGGAAAUACGACUUUGCACUAUAGUUACCUCAGCACCAUUAAAGAAUCCCCAAGGAAUUCCAUCAAUUCUUUAGUUUCUCUCACGCUGAAUUGAAUAGUAGCCUCAAGUCAUCUUCCCCUCCCCCAUCCUGACUUGGUCGGUCUUAUUUCUGUUGAUGCAAGGAAGUGAUAGGUCAAUCAGUCCCGCCAUUCCAGAUUCAAGCAAAAAAAACCUAUCUAGUCUCCGAUCUGGAGAAGGAAUGCUAACUGGGACCAAGCCAAGUAUCGUCUGUUAAUCAUUCUUUGAAUCCCAGUUGUAUUAGUAUCCAUCGUCGUCAGCGGGCUAGGGCUCCUCUGCGAUUGCACGACCUUUCCUCACCGUCAGGAAAGACCGUCUCCGCUAGUAAUUAAUGUGCAAGUUGGGCAUGAUUAACAUCUAUGCUCCAACGGGGUAGUGUUGAUAUACUAGUAUACUUUUGAAACUUGUUUCUGGCCUGUCACCACAAUGAAUUGGUAAAAGCUGUUCUGCU